UACAGAGGGGGCAAGCGUUAUUCGGAAUUAUUGGGCGUAAAGGGCGCGUAGGCGGCUUGGCAAGUGGAAGGUGAAAUCCCUCGGCUUAACCGAGGAACUGCCCUCCAAACUGCUUGGCUUGAGACCGGGAGAGGUGAGUGGAAUUCCCAGUGUAGCGGUGAAAUGCGUAGAUAUUGGGAGGAACACCAGUGGCGAAGGCGGCUCACUGGACCGGUACUGACGCUGAUGCGCGAAAGCGUGGGAGCAACGGG
rnacentral:rRNA from 1 species